rnacentral:lncRNA from 7 species
CCCUCGGGCCCUGUCGCUGUCACACAGAGCAGAGCUCAGCGCUGCCCCUCCGCUCCCUGUGAGGAGCUGCAGACUCCAUGAGGCCUCCCCUCAGCUCCUCUGCUCUGCGCUGAGCCAACACAGGGAACUCAGCUGCUCCUCGUACCUCUUGUCCUCUGGACCCUUCCUCGUCUUUGUAGCUCUCCUUUGGAUGGGACAAAAGCAGCCCAGGUCAUACCGGUGAGAUUCCACUCCCCUCUCACCGAGUUCUUCUUUGUUUACAACAUUAUUCUGAAACAUAUUGACAAGUCUCACGCUGUGAUUUCCAUGUAGAGUUUACAGCAGCUGCCCCAGAAACAGUCACCCAGGAAAGUUAGUGGCUAGAGAAUCUACCCACACCACCUGGACCACAGCAGAAUUUCCCUGCUGACAAAAGCAUCACUUGCUGGUGAGAGGGAACCCCUUAUGACCUGGAUCUUUACAGUGAUGCUUGCUGGUAUUAUCUUGAAAAGUGUAAGUUGCUCAUGGCAGAAGUCAGACCCUUUUCUCUGAAAGACGCAGAACGAGAAGAUAGUCACUUACAAUUAACUCCAUCAAUGUCUCCUCCUUCUUGGUUGUUCUGCUGCAGAGGUGCUCAUCGGCAUUUCUUGAAAUGAAGAAUGGUUUAGUGUCAAAGGUGCAAAGGUGAAGGAUAUCAAAUCUGUUGCAAAGUUAUCUUUUCACUACCUGCCUCUCAGGGAGUGUCUUUUAUACAUCGAAACUGUGAAGUUCUCAAGUACUGCAACCAUAAAGUGAAGAUGCUGCAUAAACGAAUAUACGUGAUCCAAAGAGACUUAGAUCCCCACAAUACUUGUCAUCAUUUUCCCAAGUGAUUACAGUGAAGUACUGGAGGAGAGGGGAUCCAAUACCUCAGGAGAUCACCUUUCCCCAUCUCUAUUCCAAUAAUUUUUAUGUAAAAUACAGAACAAGAUACCUAUAAAUCACUUCUGAGGAGGACUGUGGUCCCAGAGCUCAUAGCAUUUCCUGGCUAUGUACCAUUUCAGAGCAAUUUCAUUCCGUGUAUGCCUACACUUCCACUGCAUGUCCCUCAAAUGG